CGUUCCCGGGCCUUGUACACACCGCCCGUCACACCACGAAAGUGGGCAACACCCGAAGCCGGUGGCCUAACCCUUACGGGAGGGAGCCGUCGAAGGUGGGGCUCAUGAGUUGGGGUG
rnacentral:rRNA from 1 species